CCUCUUGUGGAGAAGCCACAACACGCUUGUGCGAAUUUGUGCGUGACUUUCAAACUUCAAUUUCACGUAAGUGUUAAAACUUCGUGAGAACAAGUACGAAACUCUGAGAAACUUCAAAUAUCCCGUGGAUGUGGAUUUGGUAGUGCACGCACGCGCCGGUGUGUGCAGUGCACGCGCGUUUGCGGUCUCAGUGCGACUGCGCCCUCUCUCCGAGUCUUGAAUGUGUCCCGCGGAUGCAUGAGUAAGAGGAAGCCCCGCUCUCCCGUUUGCAAACGCUGCAGAAAGUGCCGAGGACACGAGGCGAUGCGCACAGUGGCGGAACAGAUUUCUGAGGACACGGAGACAGACGACAGCGCGCGCUGUGAGCACUGAAGCAGCGUCUUUAAUCAGCGUUUGUUGUUGUUGUUUUCCCCCGUCUCUGUUGGUCAGGGUUAGGGUUAGCGCACUCCUCCAGAGAGAAGGAGAGGGAGGCGUGUGAACUCCGCCGCCGUCUGCUCGCUUUCUCCAGGACGGAUCAGCUCAGCGUGACCAUCCGCUGCCGUGCGCUCCGAUGAUGGACACGCAGCUGUGGUGACCGGGGGGAAGGAGACAGCUGGUCCGCUGUAGUGCAGUGUGAGGGAAGAAUGGGUCGUUUUCACGUUGUGCAGUGACGGGCUUUGCUGUAACAACCGGCGGAUCAUGGCAGGGAUUCACACUUCAGAUGCUGCGUCGGGACAUUUUUUGGAUCCUGCGUUGGUCCAGGGCGCGACGAACGCAGCAGCGGGAGUCACCGGCGACGCGGCCGCGCUCACUCCCACCGGCACCCGCGCGUACUUGGAGGUGUCUGCCGCCCUCCAGGGCUACGGGGCCGAGGGAGUUUACACCAAUGGACGGUACAGGGAUCACAGCAGUCCGAGGAUCGGGAGUGGCAGCCGCGACAAUUCCGCCGAGAGAAGUCAGGGAGCUGGAAACACACCAUGCGGCAUCAUGAAGGAUGGUUCCAAACAGAGGCAGGUGAGGAAAAAGACAGUGUCUUUCAGCACAAUGCCAAGUGACCGGAAGAUCAACAGCACAGCUGCUUGCAUGGCCUUCAUGAUGGAGGGUUGUGAGAUGAAGAAGGUGCGCUCCAACUCACGCAUGUACAACCGAUACUUCCUGCUGGACCCAGAUAUGCACUGGCUCCGCUGGGAGCCAUCCAAGAAAGACUCAGAGAAGGCCAAACUGGAGAUCAAGAGCAUUAAGGAGGUCCGUUUGGGAAAGAAAACUCCUGUUUUGCGCAGCAAUGGUCUCUCAGACCAGUUCCCUGAUGAGUGCGCCUUCUCAAUCAUCUAUGGGGAUAACUAUGAGUCAUUAGACCUUGUAGCCAGUACUGCAGAUGUUGUCAGCACCUGGGUGAUGGGCCUGCGGUAUUUGGUGUCUUAUGGCCGGCACACUGUUGACAUGGCGGAGCCCAGCCAACCAAGUCUACGAACAUCAUGGAUUGGCUCAGUGUUUGAGCUAGCAGAUUCAGAAAAGGAAGGACACAUAGAUUUGUUUAGGGCCACCCAGAUAAUCAAGGGGCUCAACCCUGGAAUGAAAGAGUCAAGGAUAGAGUUGAAGUUCAAGGAACUCCAGAAAGCUAAAGACCAAUAUGGAGAGGCAAUAAACAUGGACACCUUUGUGGAGGCCUAUUGUGAGCUCUGCACACGGCCAGAAAUUUUCUUUCUACUGGUGCAGUUCUCCAGUAAUAAGGAGUAUCUGGACAGUAAAGAUUUAAUGUUAUUCGUAGAGGUGGAGCAGGGUGUAGAAGGUGUAACGGAGGACAUGUGCAGUGAUAUUGUUCAUAAGUUUGAGCCAUCCGCUGAAGGUAGGGAAAGGGGAUACCUCUCCAUUGACGGCUUUACACAUUACCUCCUCUCCUCUGAAUGCCACAUCUUUGACCCACAGCACAAACGUGUGUGCCAGGACAUGACCCAGCCUUUGUCCCACUACUACAUCAACUCCUCACAUAAUGCCUCCCUUCUGGAAGACCAUUUCUGGGGUUCGUCAGACAUCAGCAGCUACAUUCGAGCUCUGAAGAUGGGCUGUCGCAGCAUUGAGGUCAUUGUUUGGGAUGGCCCUGAUAAUGAGCCAGUGGUAUAUGUGGGUAGUUCUGUUGCGUCACAGCUAGCUUUCUCUAAAGUCCUUGACAUUAUAAACCAAUAUGCUUUUGAGAGCUCUGAGUAUCCCCUGAUUCUCUGUGUGGUGACCCACUGCUGCAUCCCACAGCAGAGGGUCAUGGCACAACAUAUAAAAAAGAUUCUUGGCGACAAGCUGUAUGUGAAUCCCCCAAACAAAGAGGAAAAUUACCUACCUUCCCCUGAGAAACUCAAAGGAAAAAUCCUCCUUAAGGGUAAGAAGCUUCCACCCAAUUGCGUAGAUCCUGAGGGAGAUGUGACAGAUGAAGAGGAGGGUUUGGAAAUGUCCCGAAGAUUUGGAUCUGAUGAAAAGGACCAACUAAAUGGCUUAGGCUUCAAGAGACUCAGACUGUGCAGGGAGAUCUCUGAUCUUGUUUCUCUCUGCAAAUCAAUACAGUUCAGGGACUUUGAGUUCUCUAAAAGGGACCAAAAACACUGGGAGAUUUGCUCCUUCAAUGAGGUAGAUGCAAACAGGUUUGCCAAUGAGUUCCCAGAGGAAUUUGUCUGUUACAACAAGCGCUUUCUCUCAAGGGUUUAUCCCACACCUAUGAGAAUUGAUGCCAGUAACAUGAACCCGCAGGAUUUCUGGAAGUGUGGCUGCCAGAUUGUGGCCAUGAACUACCAAACCCCAGGCUUGAUGAUGGAUCUCAACCUUGGCUGGUUCAGGCAGAAUGGAAACUGUGGGUAUGUUUUGCGGCCAGCCAUUAUGAGAGAGGAGGUGUCCUACUUCAGUGCCAAUGCACGGGACUCCCUGCCAGGGGUUUCUGCACAGCUUCUUCACAUCAAGGUCAUCAGUGGGCAGAAUCUGCCCAAACCUCGUGGCUCUGCUGCUAAGGGUGAUGUGGUGGAGCCCUACAUAUAUGUGGAGAUCCAUGGCAUCCCAGCUGACUGUGCUGAGCAAAGAACCAAGACUGUGUCCCAGAAUGGCGACAAUCCUAUUUUUGAUGAAAGUUUUGAAUUCCAGAUCAACUUACCAGAAUUAGCAGUACUGCGCUUUGUGGUGCUCGAUGAUGACUACAUUGGAGAUGAGUUCAUUGGGCAGUACACCAUCCCAUUUGAGUGCCUACAGCCAGGCUAUAGACAUGUUCCCCUACAAUCUCUUACAGGAGAGUUCCUACUCAAUACCACCCUGUUCGUCCAUGUAGCCAUCACCAACAGGCGGGGUGGAGGGAAGGCACAUAAGAGGGGACUGUCUGUCAGAAAGGGUAGGAAGGCCCGAGAGUACACCACCACCAAGACCACAGGGAUCAAAGUAGUAGACGAGCUGUUUAGAGCAUCCACUCAGCCCCUGAGGGAGGCCACAGACCUUCGAGAGAAUGUGCAGAAUGCCUUGGUGUCCUUCAAGGAACUGUGUGGCCUGACCCCGGCGGCCAACAUGAAGCAGUGUAUCCUCACAGUGUCUACAUGGCUGAUGAACAGUGAGCGGUCACUGAGGGUCACGGUGGACCUGAGCGAGGCCUACCCCACCAUGGAGGCUCAGGGUCCGGUUCCGGAGCUGCUGCGCAAAGUGCUCAACGCCUAUGACAUGAUGAUCCAAACCACCAGGACGCUAAUCGAGUCAGCUGAUGUGGUCUACUCCAAGCUCACACAAGCACAACGUGCAGGUCUGGACUUCCACGAGGACUUGCAUCGCAUCGGAGCAAAGGAGGGACUGAAAGGCCGCAAACUCCAGAAAGCCAUGGAGAGCUACGCGUGGAACAUCACUGUGCUCAAGGGCCAGGCAGAUCUGCUGAAGCAUGCUAAGAGCGAGGCGGUGGACACGCUGCGUCAGAUCCACUGUGCAGCUCAGUCCUGUGGCCUCAGUAAAAACGGAGCCGCUUCCCCUCCGCUCCAGCACCACCCUCACCACCAGCCCCCGCAGGUCCAGAUCCAGCAACAGCCUCAGGCCAAGCCCCACCCUCUGCCGCCUCCGCCAGUGCACCAGUCCCAAAUGCUGCCCCAGUCCCAGAUCACACCCCCUGCUUAUCUCCAUCCCUUUCCCCAGCCGCAUCCCCUGCUCCCGGCUGUCCCUCUGGUCCAGACUGUUUUAAAACCACCGGCAUAUUCCCAGCCCCCGCCCCUACCUCAGUCACACUUCCAGUUCCAGAGCCAGCAGCAGAGGGGCGCAGCACCUCUCGACGCCAAGCCUGACAAAGACAUGGUCAGCGGUGGUCUGGCGGGAUCCUGCUGACCCGCAGCCUGUGCCCACAGAGAGUCCUACCCAAAGAGAGACACGGAGAGCGAGGGAGAGGUGGAGAAGCAGACGGGUGUACAAGGGAAGCAGGUGGUUAGUGGUGAAAGGGAGACGGAGGCGGUAACGGGAAGAGUUAACGAGGCGACGAUGGCGAGGAAGACUCGCCGCGUUAGAAGUGAGACACAAGUGUAACAGGAGGGCUUGAGGAGAUGAGAAGAAGGGGAUCUUUAUUCUCCUCUUCCACCUGAGUCAGAAGGUUUUAGGGUUGAGUAUAGUUGGAUCAGUAAGUUGGAUUUCCAUGUCUCUCUCUGGGCAGUGCCAGUUACAUCCUUCACUAUGUAUUCUAGCUCUGUGGGUACAGGCUUUACCUCUCAUUGGCUUUCAAAGCCACAUAUUUGCCUUUUCUUUUCUUUUCUUUCUUCUUCUUAUUUUCAAGACUCCUUGGCAUGUCUUUGAGCGUCUUUUGUUUUUUUUUUGGUUUUAAUUUCUUCAUGUCCAUGCUCUUCCUCCUUUGUCUUAGACAUAAAGCUAGGAGCCAGGAACACCUGACUCCUUUUUUUUUAAAGUAAGAGGAUACUGUUCAUUUUUAAGUGCACAAAGUAGAGCAGCUUGUCUAGGCCGAGCUCUGUAGGAGUCGCAGACGACUAUUUCAGCACAAACCAGGGAACUGUAGAGCUAACAUAGGAAAACAACACUUAACAUUCCAGCACAGUAACAAUAUAGUAAUAGUGUGGUCAUUGUUUGGUUAUAUAUCUUUGUAAUAGGGACCUUAUUCAAUUGUAAUACCUUGAUGAUAACAAUGGAAAGUGUGUUUAGGUCAUAAAAGCAGUUGAAUUUCAGCAUUAUAAUGUGAUAAUGUGACGUACAUGCUUCACUAAGCACAGGCUACAUGCUGUGUGCAGAGUCAUGUGACCAGGACGCCGCGACGUGAGGCCGGCAAGUGUCUCCCAUGCAGUUGGAGCAUUAUGUUGUUGAAGUGGCUCGUUAUAGCCAUAGACUGAAUAUUAAAAACAGUUUUUGACACAGUCUUGGAGUUGGAAAAGUGAAGCACAGGAAAUAUGACGGAAGUAGCAUUUAAGCCUCCAGGGGGCGACUGGUUGCAAAUGGAAGUCUCCAGGAAGACGAGCCUAGCCCUCGCUUCUAGCAUUAGUUUCAGGAUUUCUUCAACAUUACGUGAUUUGUCAACUUUGUAAGUUAUUUUCCCAUUUGGAGGAAAUUAGAAGAUUUAAACUUUAUUGUGAGAGUAGAACACUGUAUCCAUUUCAUAUACAUCUCUGGUUAUAGCUUGGUGGAAUAUGAAUGUCUUAAAACCGAUACCUGAAAUUCAAGGUUGGGAUUAUCAGUAUCCUGGACAUUAUAUGGUAUUACUGUAACAAGCUGGAAAUUGCCAUAACAUUACCGAAUUAAGACAAACUAUCACCACAUUGUUACAGCUCUGUUACUGCAAUGUAACGUUAAGUGUUACCCAACCUUCAGACGUAGAUGUGUGCAGUCACACCAAUGCUCCGCGUGCAUCCCUUGCUGGCGUAAAACGUCCCAUCAACACAUCUUCAGUGUCAUUCCUUGUGUAUUUAUGUUCUUUACCAUCAUAGGAGUGUGUGUGUGUGUGUGUGUGUGUGUGUGUGUGACGUAUGUAUGAUGUGUGUUGGUGUUUUAGUUCCUGUGGUGGAACUAACCCACAUCCUCAAAGCCAAUCACAACUGGAAUAUCUGACCCUGCCUCUUAUAGGUAAAAGGUCAUCAGCAUUAUGGUACUGCUGUCAGUAACAAACAGAAAAAAAAAAAGGAAAAAAAAUACACACAAAAUAAAGUAAAUAUAGAUGUAUAUUGUAUGUAAAGUGUACGAAGGGAAAAAUAUAUUGCGAUAAUAACUCGUGCUGACAGCCAUUUAACGAUUCAUAUUAUGAUAAUUGUUGUUGUUAGUUCUAUUGAUAUUCUUUUGUAACCUUAUUUCCACAUGUAGAGUGAUUUUGACACCUGCGCUGUUGUGUGGUGCAGUGCAGGACAGCCAGUGCAUGUGGGACUAGUGCGAGGGAGGACGGCGUCGUUCCACGGCGCAAGGGUCGAACAGUGGCCUGACGUGUGUUUUCCCUGCGACGGGUGAUGAUGUGGACAACACAGGGUAUUAUAAAAGACACUCGUCCUACCCCCAAGUUGACGAGAAGAUCAGAUGAUUCCCCCUUCACGCAAAUCAGAAGACAACGUGGUCCCCGACUGACUUCU